ACACCGGCAGCUCAAGUGGUAGCCGCUUUUAUUGGGCCUAAAGCGUCCGUAGCCGGUCUGAUAAGUCUCUGGUGAAAUCCCGCAGCUUAACUGUGGGAAUUGCUGGAGAUACUAUCAUGACUCGAGGUCGGGAGAGGCUGGAGGUACUCCCAGGGUAGGGGUGAAAUCCUGUAAUCCUGGGGGGACCACCUGUGGCGAAGGCGUCCAGCUGGAACGAACCUGACGGUGAGGGACGAAAGCCAGGGGCGCGAACCGGAUUAGAUACCCGGGUAGUCCUGGCCGUAAACGAUGUGGACUUGGUGUUGGGAUGGCCUCGAGCUGCCCCAGUGCCGAAGGGAAGCUGUUAAGUCCACCGCCUGGGAAGUACGGUCGCAAGACUGAAACUUAAAUGAAUUGGCGGGG
rnacentral:rRNA from 1 species